GAAUAAGUUCUAUUGGUACCCUACCUACUUUGGGUGCUUUAUUCUUCCAAGUGAUUUCAGAGCAGCUUCACUUUCCAUUGCU